GGGGGACCUUCGGGCCUCUUGCCAUCGGAUGUGCCCAGAUGGGAUUAGCUAGUAGGUGGGGUAACGGCUCACCUAGGCGACGAUCCCUAGCUGGUCUGAGAGGAUGACCAGCCACACUGGAACUGAGACACGGUCCAGACUCCUACGGGAGGCAGCAGUGGGGAAUAUUGCACAAUGGGCGCAAGCCUGAUGCAGCCAUGCCGCGUGUAUGAAGAAGGCCUUCGGGUUGUAAAGUACUUUCAGCGGGGAGGAAGGGAGUAAAGUUAAUACCUUUGCUCAUUGACGUUACCCGCAGAAGAAGCACCGGCUAACUCCGUGCCAGCAGCCGCGGUAAUACGGAGGGUGCAAGCGUUAAUCUGAGUGAGUGGGCGUAAAGCGCACGCAGGCGGUUUGUUAAGUCAGAUGUGAAAUCCCCACAGACUAAAGCUG
rnacentral:rRNA from 1 species